UACGAAGGUGGCAAGCGUUGUUCGGAUUUACUGGGCGUACAGGGAGCGUAGGCGGUUGGAUAAGCCCUCCGUGAAAUCUCCCGGCUUAACUGGGAGGGUGCGCCGAAGACUGGAAGGCUUGAGUAUGGGAGAGGUAAGCGGAAUUCCUGGUGUAGCGGUGAAAUGCGCAGAUAUCAGGAGGAACACCAAUUGCGAAGGCAGCUCGCUGGGACGUUACUGACGCUGAGACGCGAAAGCGUGGGGAGCAAACAGG
rnacentral:rRNA from 1 species